GACGGAUUACAAUUAUUACAAUCACUCGACCAUUGAGAAGCCCCUCAAUUCAAAUCCCGUCAGUUUGACAACAGUUGUCAUUUCCAUUUUUGUUUACCUCCUGUUUCUGAUUCAAAAAUCAAUGAAUCGAGGCGAGUUUGUUUAAUGUUUUUAUCCUCCAUACAGUGUAAGCAGGUGCGGUCGACAAAUAUUAAUAUAUAUAAAUAGUUCCCAGUGAAGUUCUUGAUAUGAGCUUUUCGUUUGGAACUUCUGAAAAAUCAAAACCAGCAUCAGCAGCUGUCGGACAUCAACCUUGUAGGCGACGAUUGACGGAUGGCUAAAAGGUAAACUAGCUCCCGAACCAUCGGUGGGGUAUUGUCCCAGCUCUGCGAAUCGCUGAUCCUAGGCAUUAUCGAAAGUUACCAGCUACGGAAUCGAUUAAUCCACCAGAAACUGUCGCAGUUUUACCAGCUACGGAAUCAAUUAAUCCGCCAGCAACCGUCGCAGUUCUACAAUUCCGAGCUCCACGGAUGUCCCAAGAAUAUUACAGAUUCCCACACGACAGGCCCAAUUGCCCAACAGUAAACCAGUGGUCUUUUAACGAAUAAGAAAAACAGGGUGUGCGGGUGCAAACAUUUACGGCACCUAAGACGAAUGGAACCAAGACCGAUGAAAUCGCGCGGUCCGGUCUGGAAGGUCCAACCGGACGUAAAAAAUCAUUCCCGGAUAACGUGAAGAUCUUUUCGAUGUUGGAUACAAUUUGAUUGCGGCCUAGUCUUGUUGUUCCCGGAAGUGGCCGACAAGAAGAACAGACGGCGCACAGCUCAAGACAGAGGAGAAAUGAAACGUGAGCCAGGUAGGCUGUUAUUGCUUUUUGAACCAAAAGCUGCUAUUCAAUGCUGCUGUUUCAAUAACAUCCGGAUCACAGAUUUGUCAACGGAUUGGUCUCGGUGCGGUCAGUCGCAACUGUUCCAUUUCCAUCAAUCUUUCCACCAUCUACAGUACCCUCAGCCAAGUCACCAGUUCCGGAAUUGCCUGCCAUCAAAAGUUCACCCAGUUGUGAUCCUGGGCUUGCUACAAAUGAUGUUUCAUCCACCUCACAGAUUAGAAGCUGAUAGGAAUGAAAUUGCUUCUAUCAGUUCUGACAUUGGGUGCCAUGAAUGAUGUUCCCUCGCUGCUAGUAAUGCAGCAAUAAUCAGGCAUCCGACAAUAUAAAGGCUGCAUACCUCCUGGCUGUCCUCUGCGGCAACGCCAGCCCAUCGAGUGCCGACAUCGAGAAGAUCCCGAGCUCGGUUGGUAUCGAGGCCGAUUCAACUCACGUCACCAAGGUGGUCAACGAGCUGAAGGGCAAGUCGGUGGAGGAACUGAUGGCCUCCGGUCGCGAGAAGCUCUUGUCGAUACCAGCUGGUAGAGCCGCUCCAGCUGACGAUGCUUGUGCUCCUGCCGUUGGUGCUGCUGCCGCUCCUGCUGAAGAUUAGAAGGAAGAGUCGGAAUCGGAGGACGACUUUCGGUCGUCGGGGGCUUCGGUCUCUUUUAAUAAGAAGGGAUUCAACCAUAUCAUUGGAAUGUGACGAUGACCAUUCGUACGAAAGGUACAAAUAUUUAUUUCUGUGAAUUAAAUAACCAAAAAAUUGUGACGUCUGAUUCCAAACAUACAUAUACUCAAUCCAGUUGAAACCCAAAAUUGGGUGCUAGCGAAGUUGGA